rnacentral:lncRNA from 1 species
UUUUAAAUGGGAAAUAAAACUUUAUUACAUAGGAGAUAAAAUAUUUAAUGUCCAUCUAUCACUGUAAAAAAGCCCAACACCCAUUAUGCCACUACUUCAAAUCUUUCUCAAAACUCACAUUCUCUGCUGUGUCUUUGGCACACACCACUUGUCCUACCUCCACAACCAAGCUUUCUGUGUAACUGCAAUAAUUGCAGUGUUUUUCUCCAUUUAUCCCAGUCUUCAUUUCCUCUCUUUAAUUUUGCAGUUUCAAUUACAUUCCAGAUUGUAGUCGUCUUGGAUUAUGGAAUUGUCAUCCCAUGUUUAGUAAACCAUGGGGAAAGCAAGCCAUAAGUAAAUUUGUGCUGCUUUCCUCAUUGACAUUUUCUUGGAAGUUUCCAGCAGCCUCGCUCCCCAACUAUUAAAAAGAGAAAAUGAAGUCUACAGCACUGAGAAAACAACAAGCAAAGCAAGUGUGCAGAUUAAGUUACCUGAACAGUGAGAACAGUGGUUACCUGAAUGGAGGAUGCAAACCUGAAGACAGAUUCAAGCCAGUGACUCCGAGCAAACAAGGGAGAGCCACCAACACUAAAUUUAGUUGUAAUACUAAAUUAAAGUGGUAUACUUGUUCCAUUAGAGAAAUGUUAUGUUGUGCAAGAGAAUACAUACGGUGGUUACCAAUAGCUUUAUGCAACUAUUCUUUGGGCUCCUCCUUGUGCAACAUUAAAACUCACCCACCUGCUGGCGCAGGAGUCCUUGCACUAGUGACAGAGAACAUUGAAUACUGUACAGCCCUUUGUAAUACAUGUGCAUGCCACAAUACUCAUUCCAGCCCCACUGAACCAACUGGGUAUGUCUCUUGUUCCAGGUGGGCCAUCCAACACCACUAGUUGUUUUAACUUGACCUACAUCAAAACUAGAGUACACAAGAGACCUAGGACUCAGCUACAUUAGUCAAAAAACGUUUUGAAUGUGUUAUAAACAUACAAAACCAGAUGGCACCAGAGAGCAAAAUAAAUGUUUAUGUGAUUUUUACAUAGCUG